CAGAGAUAAAAGACAGGGGCUGUCUGCACAUGAGCAGCAACCCCGGAAAGUCUGGAGCGAUUGCAAACCUAAGAGCAAAUACCAGUCAGCAAAACAGUGCUGCUAUUAAGAACGCUAACACAGUGAUGCAGUAACAGGAGGGUGACAGGCCAAAACCAGGUGGGAACAUUUCCUCUUUAUUGGCAUAUUGGCGCUGCUGAAGACUUUGAGAAACAAUGGUGUCUGGUGUGGUUCUCAACACUUUAAGAGGAAUGUAGCGAAACUGGAGAGAGUCCAGCAAAGAGUAACAAACGUGAUAAAAGAGUAGGAAAACAGAACCUGAGAGGAAAGGUUAAUAACUAGGAUUGUGUAGGCUGAAGGAGCAAGAGGGCUAAAGGGAAAAGGCACCCAAGAUGUUAACCACAUUCUUGGAUUCCUGGGCACCCUCCAGUUUCUGACCUUGUUCUCCUAAACUCCAGCCUGCAACUCUCUGUGAAAAUGCAAAUAGCAAAAUGGGGAUAAUAUGUUACCGAAUACAGGAAAAGCAGAAGGAAACAUUCAGAUUGUCAUGAGACAAGCUAUUCCGUUUACUGAGUGCUGAAAACUAAGAGCGGCAGAUAGACUGGGUAACAUGGAGGAUCAGAAGGAAACUGCAAAUUCCAUGCUCUCAUGCUUUCUGACUUCUGCAUAGUUUCAUCCAAGGGGAAGCAGUUUUACAGAAUUCAGUGAUGUGAGUUACUGAAGGGCCUGAGUAUUGCUCCUCUGUUCUCUCUUUUUUAAGUAACACGUCUGGCUGGGGCUCCUCCGUGGUUCCAACCUGCAUCAGCCAGCCAUUUCCUCCACGGUCUCAACUCUGGCAAGACACUUCCCGUUGGUUUUGCAUUCUUGCUAGAUGGUCCCUCUUCUUGGCUCUGGUCUUACCACAUUAUGCUGUUGUCCCUCUAGCCCCAGGGGUAGCAGCUCCCAGUUUUUGCCCAUCUCUUAGUUGCCUCACCAUCUCUUACAUGGCUCCUCAUUUCUCCUAUUAGCUAUGUACCCAAUUCACUGUAUUAAAUUCCUCCACUGUAAAAGACCAAGAUUAGUUUCUGUUUCCUGGCUGGACCUGGACUGAUACUGAUGAAAAAAUAUGUUAAAGAUUAUGAGUGUUCUGUAAAUGUAGAGUAUUAGUACCAUAGUCAUCUUAAUGAUUGUCAUAUGUUCCAAAGGUGAUAUAUUUAGUAAAUCUGCCAUUUUGGCACUCUCCCAUUAUUAUCUCCCUUCAUGGGCAUGGGUAAUCAAUUAUCUAUGUUAUGAAUAUAUCCAUGAAAUUAUAUGUAGAGGGAUGGAAUAUUAUGUUUUGUUUCUGUUUUAUAUAUAUGUAUCUCUAUUAAUGGAAAAAUGCAGAAUUAGAAUGGGAGUAUUUCGGAAUGUGUUUGGAUGUCACUUCAAAUUUAUUUCAGUGUGGAGCAGAGGGAAUGGUGGCAAUUUCCUUUUAGCUACCUUUCCUAUUUCAUCUCCUGACUUUUGUUAAAGAAUGUAUCAAUCCUCAGGGAGAGACUUAUAAAAGCAAACAAAAGAAAGCAUUAGAAAGAAAUACUGAAAUGGCUUAUUUUGUCCAGAAGCAAACUUCUGACAACGUUCUAUGACUUACCCAUGUACCAUCAUCUAUCAUCUAUUUACCUACUUACUUGGAGAAGUCAGAAGUUAACUGCUUGUCAUGGGCAUGAAUAUUAACAUAUUUAUUUGUAUUGAAAAAUAAAGUCAAAUUGUUGUGCUGGAAAUUAAAUCUGGCUUGACUGAUUGGUUUGAAAAUGAAUACUGGCUCUAAUUCAUGCCAAUCAGGUCAUAUGGUGGGCAUUUUCCAUAAGCUGAAUGAACUAAAUCGAGAGCUCCCAGCUUUUUGAUGAAAUUGUAUUUAAAGCAGGUGACAACAUAAAAGUAUUUUAAAAGUUUUUUCUAACUUUGUAUUUAUCAGUUUAAGCAAGUUGCCUCUAAGUGGAAGAAACACAGGUCUAAUUAACAGUUUUUUAACAAGUCUUGGUAAAGUCUUUCCUGCAACAGAGAAAGUAAAAGAUUCUAAUGACAGAAUGGCAUGCAUUUAUUGACUCAUUUGUUGCAUUCUACAAAAUUGAAGACCUAAUUGAAUUGUCAGCUGAUAGAUUAUUAAAACUGAUGAUAGAUCACAAUGUGAUUUUUUUAUAUGGACCUCAGAAAAUAUUUGAAGAAUUGAAUAGUGUUGCCAUGACAAAACUUCUUCUAUUGACAUCUCUUUGUUUAUAGGAACAAAUUUUCUCAGCAGAUACAUUUUUAAAGCAAACAGAUAAUAGGAAUAAAAUUGUUAAUGACUUCACUAACAUUUUACCAAUAAGUUGUAUUUUUUAUGAUACAUGAACUUAUUAAAA
ensembl:lncRNA